rnacentral:rRNA from 1 species
CCUACGGGGUGCUGCAGUGGGGAAUAUUGCACAAUGGGCGAAACCCUGAUGCAGCGACGCCGCGUGAGUGAAGAAGUAAUUCGUUACGUAAAGCUCUAUCAGCAGGGAAGAAUAUGCCGGUACCUGAGUACGCAGCCCCGGUUAACUACGGGCCAGCAGCCGCGGUAGAACGUCGGGGCCAAGCGUUAUCCGGUAUUACUGGGUGUAAAGGGAGCGUAGACGGUGCGCCAAGACUGGAGUGAAAUGCCCCAGCUUAACUGUGGGACUGCUUUGGAAACUGGCGAACUAGAGUGCGUUAGGGGUAAGCGGAAGUCCAAGUGUAGCGGUGAAAUGCGUAGAGAUUAGGAGGAACACCGGUGGCGAAGGCGGCUUACUGGACCAUAACUGACGUUGAGGUUCGAAAGCGUGGGGAGCAAACAGGAUUAGAUACCCGAGUAGUC